GACGAAACGCUGGCGGCGUGGAUUAGGCAUGCAAGUCGAACGGUAUCAUCCUUUCGGGGGUGAGAGAGUGGCGAACUGGUGAGUAACACGUAGGUUAUCUACCCUCAAGACGGGGACAACCCAGGGAAACUUGGGCUAAUACCGGAUGUGAGCAACUUUUUAGUUGUUUGAAAGGUGGCGUAAGCUGUCGCUUGGGGAUGAGCCUGCGUCCUAUUAGUUAGUUGGUGAGGUAACGGCUCACCUAGGCAAUGAUAGGUAGGCGGCCUUAACGGGUGGUCGCCCACACUGGGAUUGAGAUACGGCCCAGACUCCUACGGGAGGCAGCAGUCGAGAAUAGUCUACAAUGGUCGGAAGACUGAUAGUGCGACGCCGCGUGAACGAUGAAUCCCUUCGGGGUGUAAAGUUCUUUUAUAUGUGAGCAGUGCUUCUUAUAUUAACAGUAUGGGGAAGAGAUAUUAGCAUAUGAAUAAGCAACGGCUAACUCCGUGCCAGCAGCCCGCGGUAAACU
rnacentral:rRNA from 1 species